rnacentral:rRNA from 1 species
UACGUAGGGUGCAAGCGUUGUCCGGAAUUAUUGGGCGUAAAGAGCGUGUAGGCGGCCCGAUUAGUCCGCUGUGAAAGUCCAGGGCUCAACCCUGGAAUGCCGGUGGAUACUGUCGGGCUAGAGUCCGGAAGAGGCGAGUGGAAUUCCUGGUGUAGCGGUGAAAUGCGCAGAUAUCAGGAGGAACACCAAUGGCGAAGGCAGCUCGCUGGGACGGUACUGACGCUGAGACGCGAAAGCGUGGGGAGCAAACAGG